AACGCUGGCGGCGUGCUAACUACAUGCAUGUCGAACGCUUUUCUUUCACCGAGACUUGUCUCACCGAAAGAAAAGAGUGGCGAACGGGUGAGUAACACGUGGGUAACCUACCCUCGAGCGGGGGAUAACAUUUGGAAACAGGUGCUAAUACCGCAUAAUAACAGAAGAAGCAUUUCUUUUGUUUGAAAGUCGCAAUUGCGACACUCGAGGAUGGACCCGCGGUGCAUUAGCUAGUUGGUGGGGUAACGGCUCACCAAGGCCACGAUGCAUAGCCGACCUGAGAGGGUGAUCGGCCACACUGGGACUGAGACACGGCCCAGACUCCUACGGGAGGCAGCAGUAGGGAAUCUUCGGCAAUGGACGAAAGUCUGACCGAGCAACGCCGCGUGAGUGAAGAAGGUUUUCGGAUCGUAAAACUCUGUUGUUAGAGAAGAACAAGGGUGAGAGUGGAAAGUCCACCCCUUGACGGUAUCUAACCAGAAAGCCAACGGCUAACUACGUGCCAGCAAGCCGCGGUAAUACGUAGCGUGGCAAAGCGUUG
rnacentral:rRNA from 1 species